UUGAUGGUCCUUUACUACUUGGAUAACCGUAGUAAUUCUAGAGCUAAUACAUGCAGCAAACCUUGACUUCGGAAAAGGUGUAUUUAUUAGAUAGAAACCAAUGCGGGGCAACCCGGAUCCUGGUGAUUCAUAAUAACUUUCGGAUCGAUUGCAAAAUCGAUGCAUCAUUCAAGUUUCUGCCCUAUCAGCUUUGGAUGGUAGGGUAUUGGCCUACCAUGGCUUUAACGGGUAACGGAGAAUUAGGGUUCGAUUCCGGAGAGGGAGCCUGAGAAACGGCUACCACAUCUAAGGAAGGCAGCAGGCGCGUAAAUUACCCAAUCCUGACACAGGGAGGUAGUGACAAUAAAUAACAAUGUUGGGCUUUUUAAGUCUGACAAUUGGAAUGAGAACAAUUUAAAUCCCUUAUCGAGGAUCAAUUGGAGGGCAAGUCUGGUGCCAGCAGCCGCGGUAAUUCCAGCUCCAAUAGCGUAUACUAAAGUUGUUGCAGUUAAAAAGCUCGUAGUUGGAUUUCUGGAGAUGAAUCUAGGUCCGUUCCUCACGGAAUGUGUACUUGGUAUUCAUUACCAUCUUUGGGAUUAAUAUAUCUGGCA
rnacentral:rRNA from 1 species